rnacentral:rRNA from 1 species
GACGUAGGGCGCGAGCGUUGUCCGGAUUUAUUGGGCGUAAAGAGCUCGUAGGCGGCUUGUCGCGUCGUCCGUGAAAACCUGCGGCUCAACUGCAGGCUGGCGGUCGAUAGGGGCAGGCUGGAGUUCGGUAGGGGAGACUGGAAUUCCUGGUGUAGCGGUGAAAUGCGCAGAUAUCAGGAGGAACACCGGUGGCGAAGGCGGGUCUCUGGGCCGAUACUGACGCUGAGGAGCGAAAGCCAGGGGAGCAAACGGG